UGAGGAAUAUUGGUCAAUGGACGAGAGUCUGAACCAGCCAUGCCGCGUGAAGGAUGAAGGCGCUCAGCGUUGUAAACUGCUUUUAUCUAGGAAGAAUGAUCGGAGUGCGCUCUGAUGUGACGGUACUAGAGGAAUAAGCACCGGCUAACUCCGUGCCAGCAGCCGCGGUAAUACGGAGGGUGCAAGCGUUAUCCGGAUUUACUGGGUUUAAAGGGUGCGUAGGUGGAUUUGUAAGUCAGUGGUGAAAUCUCCGAGCUUAACUCGGAAACUGCCAUUGAUACUAUAAGUCUUGAAUUAUCUGGAGGUAAGCGGAAGAUGUAAUGUAGCGGUGAAAUGCUUAGAUAUGACAUAGAACACCAAUUGCGAAGGCAGCUUACUACGGAUUGAUUGACACUGAGGCACGAAAGCGUGGGGAUCAAACA
rnacentral:rRNA from 1 species